GGUUGUAGCUCAGUGGUAGAGUGCUUGCCUUGCAUGUGUGAGGUCCUGGGUUCGAUCCUCAGCACCA
rnacentral:tRNA from 1 species